UAUUAAAAUUUGCAUCCAUUUCUACUGUUAAAAACUAACGUAGCUGAUGAAAUAACCAAACAAUUAAAUGUAGCAUGCUACUACUACAUGUACCUCAUGUUGAUAUAUAAUGACCAAUUUUUAAUAGUAGAAAUAGUUGAAAUUUUUAAUA
rnacentral:pre_miRNA from 1 species